GACGAACGCUGGCGGCGUGCUUAACACAUGCAAGUCGAACGGAAAGGCCCCCACCAUUUUUGGUGGGGGUGCUCGAGUGGCGAACGGGUGAGUAACACGUGGGUGAUCUGCCCUGUACUUCGGGAUAAGCUUGGGAAACUGGGUCUAAUACCGGAUAGGACCAUGGUUUAGUGUCUCAUGGUGGAAAGAUUUUUUGGUGCAGGAUGAGCUCGCGGCCUAUCAGCUUGUUGGUGGGGUAAUGGCCUACCAAGGCGUCGACGGGUAGCCGGCCUGAGAGGGUGGACGGCCACAUUGGGACUGAGAUACGGCCCAGACUCCUACGGGAGGCAGCAGUGGGGAAUAUUGCACAAUGGGCGCAAGCCUGAUGCAGCGACGCCGCGUGGGGGAUGACGGCCUUCGGGUUGUAAACUCCUUUCGUUAGGGACGAAGCCACACUUUUUUUGGGUGUGGUGACGGUACCUUUGUUAAGAAGCACCGGCUAACUACGUGCCAGCAGCCGCGGUAAUACGUAGGGUGCGAGCGUUGUCCGGAAUUACUGGGCGUAAAGAGCUCGUAGGUGGUUUGUUGCGUCGUCUGUGAAAUUCCGGGGCUUAACUUCGGGGUGGCAGGCGAUACGGGCAUAACUAGAGUGCUGUAGGGGAGACUGGAAUUCCUGGUGUAGCGGUGGAAUGCGCAGAUAUCAGGAGGAACACCGAUGGCGAAGGCAGGUCUCUGGGCAGUAACUGACGCUGAGGAGCGAAAGCAUGGGGAGCGAACAGGAUUAGAUACCCUGGUAGUCCAUGCUGUAAACGGUGGGCGUUAGGUGUGGGGACCGGUUUGGUUUCUGUGCCGUAGCUAACGCAUUAAGCGCCCCGCCUGGGGAGUACGGCCGCAAGGCUAAAACUCAAAGGAAUUGACGGGGGCCCGCACAAGCGGCGGAGCAUGUGGAUUAAUUCGAUGCAACGCGAAGAACCUUACCUGGGUUUGACAUGCACCAGACGGUUGUAGAGAUACGUACCUCCCUUUGUGGUUGGUGUGCAGGUGGUGCAUGGUUGUCGUCAGCUCGUGUCGUGAGAUGUUGGGUUAAGUCCCGCAACGAGCGCAACCCUUGUCUUAUGUUGCCAGCACUUUGGGUGGGGACUCAUGAGAGACUGCCGGGGUUAACUCGGAGGAAGGUGGGGAUGACGUCAAAUCAUCAUGCCCUUUAUGCCCAGGGCUUCACACAUGCUACAAUGGUUAGUGCAACGCGCUGCAAGCCUGUGAGGGUGAGCGAAUCGCUGAAAGCUAAUCUCAGUUCGGAUUGGGGUCUGCAACUCGACCCCAUGAAGUCGGAGUCGCUAGUAAUCGCAGAUCAGCAAUGCUGCGGUGAAUACGUUCCCGGGCCU
rnacentral:rRNA from 1 species